ACAGAGUGAGGUGUACAGAGUGAGGUGUACAGAGUAAGGUGUACAGAGUAAGGUGUACAGAGAGAGGUGUACAGAGAGAGGUGUACAGAGUAAGGUGUACAGAGAGAGGUGUACAGAGAGAGGUGUACAGAGAGAGGUGUACAGAGUGAGG